rnacentral:snRNA from 1 species
GUGCUUUCACAGGACAUACACUAAAAUUGGGACAAUACAGAGAAGAUUAGCAUAGUCUCUGCUCAAGGUUGACACACAAAUUCAUGAAGCUCUUUAAAUUUAA